rnacentral:rRNA from 1 species
GUAAACCCAGGCUGUACUGCACCCACACAGCCCGCCAGAGCACUACAAGCACAAAGCUUAAAACUCAAAGGACUUGACGGCAUUCCAUAUCGCCCUAGAGGAGCCUGUCCUAUAAUCGAUAACCCACGCUACACCCCACCUGCCCUCGCACCCAACAGCCUAUAUACCGCCGUCCCAAGCCCGCCUUACAAAAGCCCCAAUUACAGCGAGCCAACCAGCCUAACCCUAAUACGUCAGGUCAAGGUGUAGCCAAUGAGCAGGAAGAGAUGGGCUACAUUUUCUUAACCUAGAAAACAACCCACAGUGCUGUGAAAACCUGCACUUAAAGGAGGAUUUAGCAGUAAGCCGAGCAAGCUAUGCUCGCCUGAACACCG